rnacentral:rRNA from 1 species
AACGAACGCUGGCGGCGUGUCUUAAGCAUGCAAGUUGAGCGGCAAGGGGUAGCAAUACCCCCUAGAGCGGCGGACUGGUGAGUAACGCAUGGGUGAUCUGCCCUUGGGAUGGGGAUAGCCACUAGAAAUAGUGGGUAAUACCGAAUACGUUCACACUUUCGGAGGUGUGAGGAAAAGCGCUUCGGCGCUGCCCGAGGAUGAGCCCGUGUCCCAUUAGCUAGUUGGUGAGGUAACGGCCCACCAAGGCGAUGAUGGGUAGGCGGCCUGAGAGGGUGUACGCCCACAUUGGGACUGAGAUACGGCCCAAACUCCUACGGGAGGCAGCAGCUAAGAAUAUUCCGCAAUGGACGAAAGUCUGACGGAGCGACGCCGCGUGGAUGAUGAAGGCCGAAAGGUUGUAAAGUCCUUUUGCUGGGGAAGAAUAAGCAUGGGAGGUAAUGCCCGUGCGAUGACAUGAACCGGCGAAUAAGC